AGUAGUUCGAUCCUGGCUCAGGACGAACGCUGGCGGCGUGCUUAACACAUGCAAGUCGAACGGAAAGGCCCUGCUUUUGUGGGGUACUCGAGUGGCGAACGGGUGAGUAACACGUGAGUAACCUGCCCUUGACUUUGGGAUAACUUCAGGAAACUGGGGCUAAUACCGGAUAGGAGCUCCUGCUGCAUGGUGGGGGUUGGAAAGUUUCGGCGGUUGGGGAUGGACUCGCGGCUUAUCAGCUUGUUGGUGGGGGUAGUGGCUUACCAAGGCUUUGACGGGUAGCCGGCCUGAGAGGGUGACCGGCCACAUUGGGACUGAGAUACGGCCCAGACUCCUACGGGAGGCAGCAGUGGGGAAUAUUGCACAAUGGGCGGAAGCCUGAUGCAGCAACGCCGCGUGCGGGAUGACGGCCUUCGGGUUGUAAACCGCUUUCGCCUGUGACGAAGCGUGAGUGACGGUAAUGGGUAAAGAAGCACCGGCGAACUACGUG
rnacentral:rRNA from 1 species